rnacentral:miRNA from 1 species
AGGUGCAUCAAUAUGUGUGUGUGUAUGUGUAUGUGUGUGAUUUGAAGGUACACAAACACAUAACACAGCACACAUACAAACAAA